rnacentral:rRNA from 1 species
GACGAACGCUGGCGGCGUGCUUAACACAUGCAAGUCGAACGGUAAGGCCCUUCGGGGUACACGAGUGGCGAACGGGUGAGUAACACGUGGGUGAUCUGCCCUGCACUUCGGGAUAAGCCUGGGAAACUGGGUCUAAUACCGGAUAGGACUCCGGACUGCAUGGUCUGGGGUGGAAAGCUUUUGCGGUGUGGGAUGGGCCCGCGGCCUAUCAGCUUGUUGGUGGGGUGAUGGCCUACCAAGGCGACGACGGGUAGCCGGCCUGAGAGGGUGACCGGCCACACUGGGACGGAGGUACGGCCCAGACUCCUAGGGGAGGCAGCAGUGGGGAAUAUCGCACAAUGGGCGCAAGCCUGAUGCAGCGACGCCGCGUGAGGGAUGACGGCCUUCGGGUUGUAAACCUCUUUCAGCACCGACGAAGCGCAAGUGACGGUAGGUGCAGAAGAAGGACCGGCCAACUACGUGCCAGCCGCCGCCGUAA